UACGGAGGGGGCGAGCGUUAUUCGGAAUUAUUGGGCGUAAAGGGCGCGUAGGCGGCUGAACAAGUCAAAGGUGAAAUCCCUCGGCUCAACUGAGGAAGUGCACCUGAAACUGGCAGGCUUGAGUACGAAAGAGGGUCGCGGAAUUCCCGGUGUAGAGGUGAAAUUCGUAGAGAUCGUAAGGAAGACCAGUGGCGAAGGCGGGUCUCUGGACAGUUCCUGACACUGAGGCACGAAGGCCAGGGGAGCAAACAGG
rnacentral:rRNA from 1 species